AUGCUUCAGAUACCUUCGCUGAAGAUGCAUACACUGUUGAUCCGGUACAUGGUUGAGAUUUUUGAUCCUAGCAAGGGCAGAUUCAUUGUACAAGAAUUGGUUGGCGAAGUGUCUCUCGGUGCCGUGGAUGUUGAGUGUAUCUUGUCCUUGGAGAACCACAUACUGUCGAAAGAAGGUAUUCUUAGUGAGGAAGGUGAGGAUGUUAAAGAUUGAGUGUCGCCUCAAAUCCUGAGCAAGACCACAAGUAAUAUAGUCAUCGAUGAUCUGAUUGUGGACACCACAAAAAAUAAAUCUGCCGACGAGGAUUUCCUUCGGAAAGUUGUCCUCGUCUUGCUUGGAACAGUUCUUGCUCCCAUGUCGAGCAAGACUGUCCCAAAGCAAUAUUACGCAUUGGUGGACGAUGUGAAGCGUAUAUCCAAGAUUAAUUGGAAUGCGUUCACCCUCCGGGUUCUGUUGUACUGCCUUCGCAACAUGAGGAAAGGCAAACACCUCCGCCAAUGGCCGAGAGGCAACUUAGCUCUCCUGCAGGUACACCUUUCAGACUUGUACCAUUGCAAAAAUAAAUAUGCUUGCAAAUUCACCUGUUGUAUAGUACUAACUGUAAAUUUUCAUAUUCAUGAUGUACUUAUACUGGGAGAAGGUUCAGCCUCUGGAAGGUGA
rnacentral:rRNA from 1 species